GCUCAACAGCUAGCCCCACCCCACCAACUAACCCUUCACUAUAACUAAUUGUUCACACCCUAACAACUAUUCACCAAAUCAUUUUUCCUCCUAAGUAUGGGCGACAGAAAAGGAGUAUGCAGGAGCGACAGAGAAAGUACCGCAAGGGAAAGCUGAAAAAGAAGUGAAACAACUCUUACAAGCACUGGAAAGCAGAGUUAAACUCUCGUACCUUUUGCAUCAUGAUUGAGCAAGUACCCUAGAGCAAAGAGUUCUUUAGUUCUUUACCCCGAAACUAGACGAGCUACUCCGAGGCAGCCUAUUGUAGGGCCAACCCGUCUCUGUGGCAAAAGAGUGGGAAGAACUCCGAGUAGAGGUGACAGACCUACCGAGUCUAGUUAUAGCUGGUUGCCUGGGAAAUGAAUAGAAGUUCAGCCCCCCGACUUUCUGCCCCAACAUUCUCAUAAAUGCUCGGCUCCAGGAUGCUCGAGGGUGUUAGUCAAAGAAGGUUCAGCUUCUUUGAACAAAGACACAACUUUUCUAGGAGGCUAAAGAUCAUAAUCGAUUAAGGAACGUUACUGCAGUGGGCCUGAAAGCAGCCACCUAAAAAGAAAGCGUUAAAGCUCUUGUAACACUCAUAACCCCUUUUAUUAGGAUAAAAUAUCUUAUUCCCCUAAACUUACCGGGCCAUUUCAUGCCCCCAUGAAAAGGACCAUGCUUGAAUGAGUAAUAAGAGGUAAUAGACCCUCUYCCCGCACACGUGUAAACCGGAACGGACCACCCGCCGCUGAUUAACGACCCCAUCCUAAGAGGGAACUGUAUUACGACCCGAUUAAGCCAGAAAGUCACACACAGAACCAUCGUUAACCCCACACAGGAGUGCUUUUCAGGGAAAGACCUAAAGGCAGGGAAGGAACUCGGCAAACACCUUAAGCCUCGCCUGUUUACCAAAAACAUCGCCUCUUGCAACCAAAGUAUAAGAGGUCCCGCCUGCCCUGUGACUCUUAGUUUAACGGCCGCGGUAUUUUGACCGUGCGAAGGUAGCGCAAUCACUUGUCCCUUAAAUGGGGACCUGUAUGAAUGGCAUAACGAGGGCUUAGCUGUCUCCCCCACCUAGUCAAUGAAAUUGAUCUCCCCGUGCAGAAGCGGGGAUUGUUACAUAAGACGAGAAGACCCUAUGAAGCUUUAGACAACCAAGCGGCCCACUCAAAACGACCCGAUGUAAACCACGGCGAAUUCUUAGUGGCAGACACCGCUUAUAUGUCUUUGGUUGGGGCGACCGUGGGGAAAAGAAAAACCCCCAUGAGGAUCGGGGGCCCUGCCCCUAAAGCUGAGAGCCACCUCUCGAAGCAUCAGAACCUUUGACCCUAUGAUCCGGCUAAGCAGCCGAUCAACGAACCGAGUUACUCUAGGGAUAACAGCGCAAUCCUCUCCCAGAGCCCUUAUCGACGAGGGGGUUUACGACCUCGAUGUUGGAUCAGGACAUCCUAAUGGUGCAGCCGCUAUUAAGGGUUCGUUUGUUCAACGAUUAAAGUCCUACGUGAUCUGAGUUCAGACCGGAGUAAUCCAGGUCAGUUUCUAUCUAUGAUUUGAUCUUUUCCAGUACGAAAGGACCGAAAAGGAGGGGCCAAUACCACCGGCACGCCCCACCCCCACCUAAGGAAAACAACUAAAGCAGGCAACUGGGCACACCCCAUUACCCCUUGUUAGAAAACAUAACAU
rnacentral:rRNA from 1 species